UAAAAAAAAGCGUUCAAAGAGGCCGGAACAAGUUAAUUUAACCACCGGUAGAGGUCAAACUUGGAUAUCAAUCGAAGAGAUGGCGUUGGCAAGGGCGUGGACCAAUACGUCUACGUGUCCGAUCGUAGGUAAUAAUCAAAAGUCUGAUAGUUUUUGGAAUGAGGUUUGCAACAAAUUUCAUG